UACGUAGGGUGCAAGCGUUGCCCGGAUUUAUUGGGCGUAAAGGGCGCGUAGGCGGCCUUCUAAGUCGAACGUGAAAUCCCCGGGCUCAACCCGGGAACUGCGUCCGAUACUGGAAGGCUUGAAUCCGGGAGAGGGAUGUGGAAUUCCAGGUGUAGCGGUGAAAUGCGUAGAGAUCCGGAGGAACACCAGCGGCGAAGGCGGCAUCCUGGACUGGUCCUGACACUCGAGGACGCGAAAGCGUGGGGAAGCGA
rnacentral:rRNA from 1 species